ensembl:lncRNA
ACUGCCCUUGGGACCAACAUGUACUUAGUGUCUGCCCUAAAUCCCUCUUCAUCUCCAGGCAGUAUUUGUUCCCAUGUAGCAAAAUCCAGAGGCAAGCAGGUUUCUGGGAGGUGUGGAUCGGUUCAAGGCUGAAGUUACCAGGAUGUGUUAUCAGUUAUGCCUGGGGUCUCACAGCAGAUAAUGAAGAUCAGUAGAAAUAACAUAAUUAUUGGACUUAAAACAACCAACCAAACAAACAAAAAAAAACCUGUUUCUUAGAGCUGGUUUUAGACGUCAUUCCUGUAAAAUCAGGGAAGCAGUAGUAGCAUCAGGAAACAGAUGUGAUCAGGCCUGGGCGAGUUGGGACUAGCACAGUCAAGAUAUUUAAGGAAGUGGAAGCUUGCAAAAAAUAAUAUAAAAAUAGGAUUGUGUUCUGUUUCCGUGUUUCAUCCGAUCUUUGUGCGGGGCCGCACAGUGGUCUUUCAUCACAUAACUUUAGCACUGCUAUGCCCGCCAACCGAUCCCUGAACACCAGCUCGGUGAUACUCCCUAGCUCCAUCUGAAUGUAUCCAGAACUUCUCAAGCUAAGAUACAGCAAUCCUAAUUUAUUCCACCUGAAUUAGAGUGAACAGAUGUCUUAACGACUUGGGGCUCAUGAGUCAAGAGCUUUGAAAGCACCUCAGGACUUCACAGGUGGCCCAGUGGUUAAGAAUCCACCUGUCCAUGUAGGAGAUGUGGAUUCAAUUCCCAGUCUGGGAAGAUUCCAUACACUGCGGAGCGGCUAAGCCCAGUGGCCCAGUCUCCACAACCACUGAGCCCACAUGCUGCAACUGCUGCAGCCUAUGCACCCUAGACCCAGUGCUCUGCAACAAACACCCAGGGCAGCCAUAAAUAAGCAAAUAAAUGUAUUUUAAAAUAAGCAAACCACCUAGCCUCCCCUAGGGAUAAAAGCAGAAACAAGGCAGUUCUCUCAAUCUGUAAGGCCUGAGUCAUGUCAAUAUUUGUAUCAGUGGAAUCGUUUCGGGAAAACUAGUAGAGUAAGUGAGACACAAAACUCACACGAUAUCCAUCCCCCAGCCCACCCAAGCCCUGGGACCUGCUGCUCCCCCUUCUGCUUGUAGGGUGCUCAGUGUAUCUUGCCUGAGCAGGGUCCUGAGGGUGUCGAUUUGCUCUUUGCUCAUCUGCUCUGAGCAGGUGAUGAGUCUGUGUUUCUGUAGCAGAAAGUGCUCCAGUCUAGGAGAUGAGCUAUGCCAUCUAGAAUCCUGGGGACCUCUGCAAAGUCAGAUGAGUCCUCUGAGCUUCAGUUUUCUCAUUUGAGGACAUUGACACCAACACUUGCCGUGUGGGGUGGUUGUGAGGAUCAGAAGAGGUCAUAUGACAGCGCCAAGAAUGCUUUAAAU